rnacentral:misc_RNA from 1 species
CCAAUAGCGUAUAUUAAAGUUGUUGCAGUUAAAAAGCUCGUAGUUGAACUUCGGGGUUUACUUAUUGGUCAGGCUUAAUUGUCUGCACUGGUAAGAUGAAUCUCUACCUUCUGAGGAACUUUCAUGCCAUUUAUUUGGUGUGAUUGGAAAUCAGGACUGUUACUUUGAAAAAAUUAGAGUGUUUAAAGCAGGCUAACGUCUGAAUACAUUAGCAUGGAAUAAUGAAAUAGGACGGACUGAUUCUAUUUCGUUGGUUUCUAGGAUAACCGUAAUGAUUAAUAGGGAUAGUUGGGGGCAUUAGUAUUCAAUUGUAAGAGGUGAAAUUCUUGGAUUUAUUGAAGACUAACUACUGCGAAAGCAUUUGCCAAGGAUGUUUUCAUUAAUCAAGAACGAAAGUUAGGGGAUCGAAGACGAUCAGAUACCGUCGUAGUCUUAACCAUAAACUAUGCCGACUAGGGAUCGGACGAAGUUAAUUUUAUAAUGACGCGUUCGGCACCUUACG